CGGACGUGUGAGUAACGCGUGGACAACCUACCCCGCACUGGGGGACAACAGCCGGAAACGGCUGCUAAUACCGCAUAUGCGCACAGCCCCACAUGGGGCGGUGCGGAAAGCCUUGUGCGGUGCGGGAUGGGUCCGCGUCUGAUUAGCUGGUUGGCGGGGUAACGGCCCACCAAGGCGACGAUCAGUAGCCGGCCUGAGAGGGUGGACGGCCACAUUGGGACUGAGACACGGCCCAGACUCCUACGGGAGGCAGCAG
rnacentral:rRNA from 1 species